rnacentral:rRNA from 1 species
UACGUAGGGUGCGAGCGUUAAUCGGAAUUACUGGGCGUAAAGGCGUGCGCAGGCGGCUUUGCAAGACAGAUGUGAAAUCCCCGGGCUCAACCUGGGAACUGCAUUUGUGACUGCAUGGCUUGAGUGCGGCAGAGGGGGAUGGAAUUCCGCGUGUAGCAGUGAAAUGCGUAGAUAUGCGGAGGAACACCGAUGGCGAAGGCAAUCCCCUGGGCCUGCACUGACGCUCAUGCACGAAAGCGUGGGGAGCAACAGG